rnacentral:lncRNA from 1 species
CAAUGACAGACUUCAGUGACUAAAUAAUUAAUGAAAUUUACCACUAGGUAUUUUUUUUUUUUUAUUAAUUUCUUUCUUUAUUUAUUUUUGCUUCUCAUCUGCACCUCUAUGAGCAGCUUCACCAUUAACAAUGCACAGCUAAUUAAAACAGCAUGAGUGCUGAUUAAUAUUUCUGAAAUAAAUAUUUCUGUGAAACGCAUUAGGUUGCACAGAAGAAAGACGAUAUAUUGAUAUAGCAGCAGAGGGCUAUUAUUUUGGUGAACGAACUAAGGAUGACGUCACGGGCUCAUAUUUGGUUGACCAAUCGGCGGAAAGGGGCGUGUCAUGACCGCCCACGAGGGGAAAACGAAUUUUGAGUGGUUUAUCCGUUUUCUACCCAUGAACCAAAAAAAACAAAAAAAAAAAAACGAAAAUACGAAGCCAAAAUCUUUUUUUGUUUUUUUUAUUUAUUAUUUUUAACAACGAAAAAAUGAGAAAAUGACAAUUUUCUCGUUUCUGCUUAUUUCAUUUCAAGUGGAAAAAAAAACUAUGAAAACGUACAUAGUUGGCUGUAUGUCAUGUCACUUUCACUUUCACCUUUAUAUAUAUAUACAGCUGCAUAGUGUCUAUGCCGACAGCAUCGUGGGUGAGUACCAGCCCAUGAACCUUUUUUUUAAACUUAAGCUCCCCCUUGUCAGGUGACACAUGACAGUGAAACUAUUACAGAAGGAUCCAUUUUGUCAUAUGAGAAAGUAAACCGCAUUUAGAGAGCAAAACAGCCAUUACUAUGGACUAAGUGUUUUGAGUCAGAGGAGGAUUUGACAAAAAAAAAAAAAAAAAUUGAUGCAAUGGUUCAUAACUCACUCUGUGGCCAAACAACUGUAUCUGCUUUUAGAUGAAACCACAGCCUUCAGAAUGAAUCUCUCUGAAGAACCUGAAAUAAACAUAAAUACAGUCAAGCGUCUGACUCAGUGGGGUGAAUCAGAUUUACCUGAAGACAUCAGUGUGUCUGUGAGGGAAAAUCUUUCCGACCUCUGCAGAGAAGACAACUCUUCUGCUGUGCCCAGUCUGUGUGAGAAUGAAUCCCCUGAACCCAGCUGUGUGUCCAUGAAGAGUGACUGGUCAAUGGACCGUCCAAUUAAAUUCAGUUUGGGAGAAUCAUCUGCUGAUCUGAGGUGUUGUUCAGCUUACAUUAUAAUAAAUAUAUGUUAUUUAUUAAUUUACUGAUGUGUAUUAAAUGCAAAAAUACAUAUUUACAAAAAUAUGCAAUAUUUGUCAAAACAGUAUUUUACCAUUUUUGAUUGACAGUCAAAAACCUAAGAAUCAGAAUCAUCUACGGCAAAGAAGAACAUAAACUCCAUUUUCAAGGUUGGUUUUGUUUGAGUAUUUGUGUGUGUGUGUGUGUGUGUGUGUGUGUGUGUGUGUGUGUGUGUGUGUGUGUGUGUGUAUAUCUUAUACUGUGUUCCGAAGAUGAACGGAGGUCUCACGGGUUUGGAACGACAUGAGGGUGAGUCAUUAAUGACAUAAUUUAUUUAAGUUAAUUUUUUCCCUCAUUAAUGUACACACAGCACCCCAUAUUGACAGAAAAACACAGAAUUGUUGACAUUUUUGCAGAUUUAUUAAAAAAGAAAAACUGAAAUAUCACAUGGUCCUAAGUAUUCAGACCCUUUGCUGUGACACUCGUAUAUUUAACUCAGGUGCUGUCCAUUUCUUCUGAUCAUCCUUGAGAUGGUUCUACAUCUUCAUUUGAGUCCAGCUGUGUUUGGUUACACUGAUUGGACUUGAUUAGGAAAGCCACACACCUGUCUAUAUAAGACCUUACAGCUCACAGUGCAUGUCAGAGCAAAUGAGAAUCAUGAGGUCAAAGGAACUGCCUGAAGAGCUCUGAGACAGAAUUGUGGCAAGGCACAAGGCAUCUGGCCAAGGUUACAAAAAAUUACAGACACUGCUCAUCACCUGUCCAAUACAGUCCCAACAGUGAAGCAUGGUGGUGGCAGCAUCAUGCUGUGGGGGUGUUUUUCAGCUGCAGGGACAGGACGACUGAUUGCAAUCGAGGGAAAGAUGAAUGCGGCCAAGUACGGGGAUAUCCUGGACGAAACCUUCUUCAGAGUGCUCAGGACCUCAGACUGGGCCGAAGGUUCACCUUCCAACAAGACAAUGACCCUAAGCACACAGCUAAAAUAACGAAGGAGUGGCUUCACAACAACUCCGUGACUGUUCUUGAAUGGCCCAGCCAGAGCCCUGACUUAUUGCCAAUUGAGCAUCUCUGGAGAGACCUGAAAAUGGCUGUCCACCAAUGUUUACCAUCCAACCUGACAGAACUGGAGAGGAUCUGCAAGGAGGAAUGGCAGAGGAUCCCCAAAUCCAGGUGUGAAAAACUUGUUGCACCUUUCCCAAAAAGAAUCAUGGCUGUAUUAGAUCAAAAGGGUGCUUCUACUAAAUACUGAGCAAAGGGUCUGAAUACUUAGGACCAUGUGAUAUUUCAGUUUUUCUUUUUUAAUAAAUGUGCAAAAAUGUCAUAAAUUCUGUGUUUUUCUGUCAAUAUGGGGUGCUGUAUGUACAUUGAGGAAAAAAAAUGAACAAAUGAUUUUAGCAAAUGGCUGCAAUAUAACAAAGAGUAAAAAAUUCAAGGGGGUCUGAAUACUUUCCGUACCCACAAGUUUGUACAGUAUUUAUUUGUACAGAAGUCCCAAUAAAACAUGAAAAUUCCAAUAUGUGUGUGUGUGUGUGUGUGUGUGUGUGUGUGUGUCCCAACAUAACAGACCUCUGCAAAGAAGUAUUAAGAAAUGAAGAAAAAAUCUGUGAAAUCAAACAAUUGUGCAUCAUCACACCUACUCUUACCCUCACAUUUAAUUUCCAAAUCAUCUUAUACAUAUAAAGUAAUAUGUAGACCAAUACAAAGUUGAUCAAUGUCCACUAAAAUAGAAAAGCUAAAUCCAUAUGUAACUUGACUGCUGCACAAAGUUGGUAAAAUCAGCUGGCGGAGUUCAUGAAUGGAAUAAACAUAUGGCAGGACUUUUACUUUCUGAUGCCUGGACUUUACACCUCUGAUAAAGAGUCACCUACCUCAGAUGUCUUCAGGAAAAGGGCUACCAAGCCACUUCUGAAACAGAAACAACAUCAGAAGCAUCUUACCUAGGCUAGGGAGAAAAAGAACUGGACUGUUGCUCAGUGGUCCAAAGUCCUCUUUUUAGAUAAAAGCUAAUUUUGCAUUUCAUUUGGAAAUCAAGGUCUGAAGUCUGGAGGAAGAUUGUUCCAAUUACCUGAAUUUGCUAAUUAGCACAGUUUUUCAGCCAGGAGGUCAGAGAUGGGACCAAGACAUUCCUUUAAAGUCACAAGCAAGUCUCAAGCAGAGGUGUAAAGUCCAGGGGUCAGAAAGUGAAAGUCCUGCCAUAUGUUUAUUCCAUCCAUGAACUCAGCCAGCUGAUUUCACCAGAGCAGGAACCAAGUCAUUCCUUUCAAGUCUCAACCAAGUCUAAAUUCAAAUACCAAGUCCUCAAAUAGUUAAAGUUAAUGAGAUAAUUAAGUGACUAAUUAAAUGACGAUUGCACAUUAUUGAUGAACAUCUGCUGUUAAAGGGUUAGUUCACCCAAAAAUGAAAAUUACUCACACUGAAGUCAUCCUAGGUGUAUAUGACUUUCUUCUUUCAGACAAAUCCAGUCAGAGUUAUAUAAAGAAUUGUCUUUGAUCUUUCAAGCUGUUUAAUGGCACUCAGCGGGUAUUGCAGUGCAUCAGUCCAAAAGAAGUGAAAUAAAAAGUGCCCAUCCAUUAAAAAAAAGUGUCUCAGAUGGCUCCGGCUGGUGAACAAAGUCCUCCUAUAGUGAAUCGAUGCGUUUUUGUAAGAAAAAUAUCCAUAUUCAAAAUAAUAAUCAGUUUAAUAAUAAUAAUCAGUUUAAUUUAGCUUGCGCUCACUGUUGUACACAGAAGCAGUUCCGGGCGGAUGACGUAUGAGAUCAGCGUUGCGCAUGCGUCGCUCAGAAGUGAGGAAUGUGGAAGCGCAGCAGAGAUCAAAACAAAACAACGGUCACUAAUUUAGAAGUACAAAACAAGGAUUUGUAAUGAAGAAUAUCAGAGGAUUUCAAUAUGAGCCAAGAAGAGACUGGUUUUCCUUUACUAAAGGAAACCUUGCUUCUUUUGCUUCUGUUAACAAACGUUUUCACGAGAAUCACUGGCGCAUGUUCAACAUUGACCUCAUCAAAGACAAUUUUCAAUUUGUGGUCAAGGUUUGCUUUAGUUUGUCUCUUGACCCUUUUAAUAAUUUAAAGUAAUUUGCUUCUAAACAAUUGCAAUAUCAUUUCACAGCAAGCAUUUGUGCAUUGCUGAAUCAGAAGCUUGAAGUAGCAGAUUAGCUUACACUUUCUGCUUAUAACUCCUUUAAAUGAACAUCAUGAAGUCGUGUCUCUCUUUGGUUUAUUGAUUGACAUUCUGCUAUUAUGGAACUCCAAAAAAAAGUCACAUUAAACAAAUGCCACUGUAAUACUUCAUUAUUGAAAAAAAUAACUGUGUGUGUGUGUGUGUGUGCGUGUGUGUGUGUCUCUCUCUCUCUCUCUCUCUCUACUAAUAUAGUAGGUCUUACUAUUAUUAGUAAAAAUAAACUAGUGUGUGUGUGUGUGUGUGCGUGUGUGUGUGUCUCUCUCUCUCUCUCUCUCUCUCUAAAUAUAAUGGGAGUUCACAUUUUAAUUUACAGUACAUAUAUGUAUAAAUUUAAUUCACUAUAAAUGUUAGAGCCACACUUUGUUCACAUGCUGUGGUUUCACGAGGCUGGUAAUGCAAAACCUAUACAUAUAAAAGAAAUAAGUUAAUUUGGAUGUAAUCAGGCCAGCUCAUGUUGACUGUAUCAUCAUAUAAAAAUAACUAAUAUCUGAACAGCACUGACCUCACUGUUUCACAACACCACAUGCAUUGCUACAGAGAGAGAUCUAACAAAGGAAGUCAAGGAUCAAGAGCCCAACACCGAUCUCCAUGAUGGUGACACCAUUUUAACCAUCAAAACAUCAACAUCUGAUCCUCUCUAAUUCUCAGUAACAGCAGGUGUUCAUCACUAAUGCACAAUCAUCAUUUAAUUAGUCACUUAAUUAUCUCAUCAACUUUAAAUUUAAGGACUUGGGAUUUGACUUGAGACUUGCUUGUUAUUGAAAGAAAUGACUUUGUCG